AGAGUUUGAUCCUGGCUCAGGACGAACGCUGGCGGCGUGCUUAACACAUGCAAGUCGAACGGAAAGGCCCCUUUGGGGGUACUCGAGUGGCGAACGGGUGAGUAACACGUGAGUAACCUGCCCUUGACUUCGGGAUAACUUCAGGAAACUGGGGCUAAUACCGGAUAGGAAUCCUUGCUGCAUGGUGGGGGUUGGAAAGCUUCGGCGGUUUUGGAUGGACUCGCGGCUUAUCAGCUUGUUGGUGGGGUAGUGGCUUACCAAGGCUUUGACGGGUAGCCGGCCUGAGAGGGCGACCGGCCACAUUGGGACUGAGAUACGGCCCGGACUCCUACGGGAGGCAGCAGUGGGGAAUAUUGCACAAUGGGCGGAAGCCUGAUGCAGCAACGCCGCGUGCGGGAUGACGGCCUUCGGGUUGUAAACCGCUUUCAGCAGGGGCGAAGCUUGUGGUGACGGUACCUGCAGAAGAAGCACCGGCUAACUACGUGCCAGCAGCCGCGGUGAUACGUAGGGUGCGAGCGUUGUCCGGAUCUAUUGGGCGUAAAGAGCUCGUAGGUGGUUGAUUGCGUCGGAAGUGAAAACUUGGGGCUUAACCCUGAGCGUGCUUUCGAUACGGGUUGACUUGAGGAAGGUAGGGGAGAAUGGAAUUCCUGGUGGAGCGGUGGAAUGCGCAGAUAUCAGGAGGAACACCAGUGGCGAAGGCGGUUCUCUGGACCUUUCCUGACGCUGAGGAGCGAAAGCGUGGGGAGCGAACAGGCUUAGAUACCCUGGUAGUCCACGCUGUAAACGGUGGGUACUAGUGUGGGGGUCCAUUCCACGGAUUCCGUGCCGUAGCUAACGCAUUAAGUACCCCGCCUGGGGAGUACGGCGCAAGCUAAAACUCAAAGGAAUUGACGG
rnacentral:rRNA from 1 species